UUGCUCGCUUCAGUAGCUCAUAUACUGAAACAUUGAAACAAAAACAGAGAAGAUUAGCACGGCCCCUGUGCAAGGAGGACCUGCAAAUUUGUGAAGCAUUCCAUAUUUAA
ensembl:snRNA U6 U6 spliceosomal RNA